rnacentral:misc_RNA from 1 species
AAGUCGUAACAAGGUUUCCGUAGGUGAACCUGCGGAAGGAUCAUUAAAGAGAUAGGGUCUUCAUGGCCCGACCUCCAACCCUCUGUUGUUAUAACUACCUUGUUGCUUUGGCGGGACCGUCUCGGUCUCCGAGCGCACUAACCCUCGGGUUGGUGAGCGCCCGCCGAUGGCCCCCAAUAAAACUCUGUAUAACCAUGUUUGUCUGAGUUCUUAAAUUAGAUUAAAACAAAA